rnacentral:lncRNA from 1 species
GAAAAAAAACUUGAACUAGAAAAUUGUAGACAAAAGAAAGUUGAAGGCUUGCUGCUUAGAUCCCGAGCUAACUGGCAUGAGAAUGGUGAAAAGUGUACAAAUUAUUUUUGUAAAUUAGAAAAGAAAAAUUUUAUUAAGAAAACCAUAACAGAACUUAUUGAUGAUAAAGGUCAGCAUAUUUCAGAGCAAUCAAAAAUUCUGAUGGAACAACAAAAUUUUUAUAAAAAUUUGUACUCAAGCAAAAAAUUAGAUUGCAAUGAUACAUCAUUUUUUA